UAUUGAGCGCGAACGUUCUGCGAUAGUCUUAUUUUCCGUGUUUUAUACGCUAAAAGUGCUUAACGAGUACGAAUUUUUAUCGAGAGUGUCGACUAAUGUAACGGACGAUUGUCAGAACGUAUUAUUGCUGCCGUGAACGCUCGCGAUUAAUGAACGACGGUGCUUCGUCGAUCAUCUGGUGGUAGGAUUGUAGAUUCAAACAUACAUUUUCAUUAAAGACUGAGUUUAGUGUAACGGAUCAUCAACGGAUACGCUGUGUGAUGAUCCUUAUAUUCACUCAAGAGCACCGAGCGCGAUGUAUUUUUUAGUAGAAGUAGCAUGUCAAAAAUUCAGCUUAUCGGAAUUAAAUCAGGUAAAAUGUUGUUUUGUACAUAGUGAUCUCUGAAAUAACCGUCAUAACAGUCGUUUACCUCGUUCAUCCAUUGUGUAUCAAACCGCUGAAGACUGGUAAUAUUGUUUACAUGUUUAAAUGUUUUAGAAGACAAAAUACGUUUUAUUUCACGUUUGCGUUUGUGGACGGCAGAAAAUUUGUAAUAUCCGUGAUUAGAAUCCGUGGUUUUCGCGUAAGUAAAGUGUGUGUGUGUGUCUGUGUGUGUGUGUGUGUGACUAAUUUUAAGUGAAAAUUUCUGGAAUUCGUCGAUUUUCUCUCUUGGAUGGAGUUGAUAAAGAGCAAAGCGAAAUCCACAGCGGAUGAAGCAAACUGCAAUACCUUAGCUGGUAUAGCUGAAGGCGUACUUGGCUAAGGUACAACGAUCGGUAUGCGUGUGCGAGAAGGAGCGAGGAACAUUCAUCGUGGCCUAUUUCCUGGUCGGCGACUCGGCACGAGAGAACGGCGCACGCGGCGCCGGCUGUUGCGCUAUCAAGAAUUUAUUAUUCGACUCGACCGAGCACAAAAAGCCGUGUUGCAUCAAAUGAUAAGCGGCCAUACCUGUGAUUUUUGUGCGAUGGCGAGGGCGAACUCUUCGUCGGGCGCGGGAUCGUCGGGUGUCAU